rnacentral:rRNA from 1 species
UACGAAGGGGCUAGCGUUGUUCGGAAUUACUGGGCGUAAAGCGUGCGCAGGCGGCUUCUCAAGUCAGGGGUGAAAGCCCAGAGCUCAACUCUGGAAUUGCCUUUGAGACUGAGUGGCUUGAGUACGAGAGAGGUGAGUGGAAUUCCCAGUGUAGAGGUGAAAUUCGUAGAUAUUGGGAAGAACACCGGUGGCGAAGGCGGCUCACUGGCUCGUAACUGACGCUCAUGCACGCAGCGUGGGGAUCAAACAGG